UUUCCUUUGGAUAUACAGUUGACCCUUGAACAACUUGGGUUAGAACUGUGCAGGUCCACUUUUAUGUAGUUUUUUUUUUCAAUAAAUAAAGUUGGCCCUCUGUAUUCACAGGUUUCACACCUGCAGAUUCAACCAACUGUGGAUCAAAAUUUCCACAUGAGGUUGGCUGAAGCGACAGAUUUGAAACCAACAGAUACAGGAAACCAACUAUGGGACUUGAGCAUUUACAGACUUUGAACAGUUCAUUUCUGUCCACUGCUGCCCUCUUCCUAGAAUAAAGUCCCUCCGAAGUAGCCUCAAGCAGCUUUCCGGGGCAGCCCACUGUCUUUUACAGAAACUAGAUAUUUCAGCAUGAAGAAAUGAAGCUUUAGAAAGCUGCUGUGUUGGAAAAAAUUGUAACUGCCAAAUAAGUCAUCCAGAAGCGGCACACUGUAGCAACCAAGGGUACCUGGAGUCCAGAAACAACACACUGCAGCUGCGUUCAAUAGCAGCCCCACAAUGCAAGGCCAAGAGGAUGGAAAAUGUGACAGGUUCCACCACAGAAGAACAUGGAGGACAAUGAACAAUGAAUAAUGAGUGGUGGACGUGAGGGGCCGGGCAAAAGAAGACAUCCCCCAACACAAAGACAACAAGUGAUGACUACGUCAGUUCUGGGAACGAACUGACAGGACCGAAAUUAUGUAAGAACUAGGGCACUGUGAGAAAUGAAUACCAACUCUGAAUGUCAGGCUCUUAAGAAAAGAAAGAAGCUAAAUUUGAGCCUUUGAUGAGUUCAUAUUUUAAAGAGAAUACUUAGUUGUUGGCAAAGAUUUUUUUUUCAAACAAGGCUCAGGAUAAUAAGUAAAAUCUGAACUUCUUAUUCCUUAACUUCAAAGAAUAUCAUUCUUUCAAUCUUUCCUGGGGAACAUGGGGAAAAAAUCACUCUUUUGAAGUAUUCAGAUGAAAGUACUAGGUUAGCUGAAAGCACUGGUGAUAAUUUGGUUGAUCAACCUUAUCUGUCAUCCACAUAAUUAAUGUUAAUAUAUUUUGUUAUUGUGAAUAUUCCCCAAAUAACAAUGAAAUCCUACGUCACUCAUAUCAUCAUACCCGGACACGGCAUGAUGGUUAGGACUAUGUAGCCUGGAGGCACACCUGAAUUCUGGCUCUACCACAUCAGAGCCCUGUGGCCUUUGCAGGUUACGUGCUUCACUUUCCUUUCCCUUAGAACGAUGGCAUUAUUUAUACAGACUUCACAGUAUAACUGAAGGGAUUAAGUUAGCAUGUGAAGCAUGGUAUCAAUGAGGAUCCCAACAGGAGACAGACAGCACACUCUAUUCAUUGAGAGCCUUUUUACAAAAAUGUAGGACAUACAGGGGAGCCCCAAAGAAUACUGCUGAAACCCAGGGCUACUAGUAGUGGAUUUGAUAUUACCCCUAGGUCUUAAAAGUACAAUGGGGAAGAAAGGUUACUGGAAUCCAGAAGGAGAAUUAGAGAGCAGGCUGCCUUGAGAAGUAACUGAUCUUCAGCCUGAAGAAAACAGCCAAUCCAAGGUGACCCUGCAGGGAGAGAGCUGGGUGGAGGGGGUGUUUGACCUCACUGUCCCUUCCCCUCUGAUUUUCUGCUGGCUUUCCAUUGGCUGAAACCACCCAGAAGCCAGAGGUCAGGAAGCAGGUAGAUGAGCCCACAAGGCCCAACCACCAGGACAGAGACCAGGAAAGGGGAAGAUGAGAAGUCUGCAGGGGCAAACGAAGAGAUCCAGCUCAAGUACUUCCAUGUACUGAAACCACCUGAUGCUUUUAAGCAUCUUCACUUCCACAAAUAUACACUAGCUGCAAUUAAUUACAUCAUACCAAUUGGUAGCAGUUGUAAAGAUUAGCUCAGCUCGACUGCAGUUCAGGAUUAAUAUACCCCUAUUUUCAUUUUGAUUGAUAUAGACCAGGCACCAAGAAUUCCUUAUUUAUUCAAUUUAUUAUGAUCUAGGAGAAAAGAAGUAUCACAGAAACUAGCCGUAGCCUUUCUCAGAUUGCCCAACAAGAAGUUGCUGUAGUAUUUUGUAACCAAGACAAACCCAUAAGAGAAGUGUGGUAAAGACGUCUGGGGCAUACUCUCCUGAGCCCUGGGCUUCUCAACAGAACAAAUGGAGAGUCACGAGGGGAGGUGGAGAACUGUACACAAUCUGACUUUUUAUUUAUUGUGAAUAAAGACCAUCUAGUUCUGAAAUAUACUCAUUGUAGAAAAUGCUUGGAAACUGCAACUGGAAACCUACUCUCUUAUCACUUUGAACAUUCUGUGAAAGAUAUGAAAAUUUUGAGAGUACGAAAAGGUAAUUUUUAAGUGUAAAAUGUAAGAAUUAAACAUCAGGUCAUGAAAUGCUGCUGUAUCAUAGUUUAAUAAUAAUGUACAUUUCCAAAUAUAUUUGGUCACAAAG